rnacentral:rRNA from 1 species
CCUUUAAUACCAUGCAAGUCGAACGAGUUCUCGUUGAUGAUCGGUGCUUGCACCGAGAUUCAACAUGGAACGAGUGGCGGACGGGUGAGUAACACGUGGGUAACCUGCCCUUAAGUGGGGGAUAACAUUUGGAAACAGAUGCUAAUACCGCAUAGAUCCAAGAACCGCAUGGUUCUUGGCUGAAAGAUGGCGUAAGCUAUCGCUUUUGGAUGGACCCGCGGCGUAUUAGCUAGUUGGUGAGGUAAUGGCUCACCAAGGCGAUGAUACGUAGCCGAACUGAGAGGUUGAUCGGCCACAUUGGGACUGAGACACGGCCCAAACUCCUACGGGAGGCAGCAGUAGGGAAUCUUCCACAAUGGACGCAAGUCUGAUGGAGCAACGCCGCGUGAGUGAAGAAGGCUUUCGGGUCGUAAAACUCUGUUGUUGGAGAAGAAUGGUCGGCAGAGUAACUGUUGUCGGCGUGACGGUAUCCAACCAGAAAGCCACGGCUAACUACGUGCCAGCAGCCGCGGUAAUACGUAGGUGGCAAGCGUUAUCCGGAUUUAUUGGGCGUAAAGCGAGCGCAGGCGGUUUUUUAAGUCUGAUGUGAAAGCCCUCGGCUUAACCGAGGAAGCGCAUCGGAAACUGGGAAACUUGAGUGCAGAAGAGGACAGUGGAACUCCAUGUGUAGCGGUGAAAUGCGUAGAUAUAUGGAAGAACACCAGUGGCGAAGGCGGCUGUCUGGUCUGUAACUGACGCUGAGGCUCGAAAGCAUGGGUAGCGAACAGGAUUAGAUACCCUGGUAGUCCAUGCCGUAAACGAUGAAUGCUAGGUGUUGGAGGGUUUCCGCCCUUCAGUGCCGCAGCUAACGCAUUAAGCAUUCCGCCUGGGGAGUACGACCGCAAGGUUGAAACUCAAAGGAAUUGACGGGGGCCCGCACAAGCGGUGGAGCAUGUGGUUUAAUUCGAAGCAACGCGAAGAACCUUACCAGGUCUUGACAUCUUUUGAUCACCUGAGAGAUCAGGUUUCCCCUUCGGGGGCAAAAUGACAGGUGGUGCAUGGUUGUCGUCAGCUCGUGUCGUGAGAUGUUGGGUUAAGUCCCGCAACGAGCGCAACCCUUAUGACUAGUUGCCAGCAUUUAGUUGGGCACUCUAGUAAGACUGCCGGUGACAAACCGGAGGAAGGUGGGGAUGACGUCAAAUCAUCAUGCCCCUUAUGACCUGGGCUACACACGUGCUACAAUGGAUGGUACAACGAGUUGCGAGACCGCGAGGUCAAGCUAAUCUCUUAAAGCCAUUCUCAGUUCGGACUGUAGGCUGCAACUCGCCUACACGAAGUCGGAAUCGCUAGUAAUCGCGGAUCAGCACGCCGCGGUGAAUACGUUCCCGGGCCUUGUACACACCGCCCGUCACACCAUGAGAGUUUGUAACACCCGAAGCCGGUGGCGUAACCCUUUAGGGAGCGAGCCGUUUAAGGGGACAAAAUGG